GUGGGGAAUAUUGGACAAUGGGCGCAAGCCUGAUCCAGCCAUGCCGCGUGAGUGAUGAAGGCCUUCGGGUUGUAAAGCUCUUUUGGCGGGGACAAUGAUGACGGUACCCGCAGAAUAAGCCCCGGCUAACUUCGUGCCAGCAGCCGCGGUAAGACGAAGGGGGCUAGCGUUGUUCGGAAUUACUGGGCGUAAAGCGAGUGUAGGCGGUUGCCCAAGUCAGGUGUGAAAGCCUUGAGCUCAACUCAAGAAAUGCACUUGGUACUGGGUGGCUAGAGGACCGGAGAGGAUAGUGGAAUUCCCAGUGUAGUGGUGAAAUACGUAGAGAUUGGGAAGAACACCAGUGGCGAAGGCGGCUAUCUGGACGGUUACUGACGCUAAGACUCGAAAGCGUGGGGAGCAAAC
rnacentral:rRNA from 1 species